CUACGGGUGGCAGCAGUCGAGGAAAUUUUACAAUGCUCGAAAGAGUGAUAAAAUGAGUCAGAGUGUUUCUUUUAAAGAAACUUUUUUCUACUGUAAAAAGGUAGAAGAAUAAGGACUGGGUAAGAUCGGUGCCAGCCGCCGCGGUAAUACCGGCGGUCCAAGUUGCAUCCACAUUUAUUGGGUCUAAAACAUCCGUAGCUUGUUUUAUAAGUCUCUUGUGAAAUCUUGUAUCUCAAAUACAAGGCGUGCAAGAGAUACUAUAUUGCUAGAGACCGGAAGACGCAAAGAGUAUGAUUAGGGUAGCGGUAAAAUGUGUUAAUCUUAAUUAGACUAACAAUAGCGAAGGCACUUUGCGAGUACGGAUCUGACAGUGAGGGAUGAAGGCUAGGAGCGCAAAAGGGAUUAGAUACCCUUGUAGUC
rnacentral:rRNA from 1 species